rnacentral:snRNA from 1 species
GUGCUAACUUUAGCAGCAUAUAUAUUAAAGUUGGAAUGAUAUAGAGAAGAUUAGCAUGGCUCCUGGGCAAGGAUGACAUGCAAAUUCGUGAAGCAUUCCACAUUCUU